rnacentral:rRNA from 1 species
GCAAGUCGAGCGAAUGGAUUAAGAGCUUGCUCUUAUGAAGUUAGCGGCCGACGGGUGAGUAACACGUGGGUAACCUGCCCAUAAGACUGGGAUAACUCCGGGAAACCGGGGCUAAUACCGGAUAACAUUUUGAACUGCAUGGUUCGAAAUUGAAAGGCGGCUUCGGCUGUCACUUAUGGAUGGACCCGCGUCGCAUUAGCUAGUUGGUGAGGUAACGGCUCACCAAGGCAACGAUGCGUAGCCGACCUGAGAGGGUGAUCGGCCACACUGGGACUGAGACACGGCCCAGACUCCUACGGGAGGCAGCAGUAGGGAAUCUUCCGCAAUGGACGAAAGUCUGACGGAGCAACGCCGCGUGAGUGAUGAAGGCUUUCGGGUCGUAAAACUCUGUUGUUAGGGAAGAACAAGUGCUAGUUGAAUAAGCUGGCACCUUGACGGUACCUAACCAGAAAGCCACGGCUAACUACGUGCCAGCAGCCGCGGUAAUACGUAGGUGGCAAGCGUUAUCCGGAAUUAUUGGGCGUAAAGCGCGCGCAGGUGGUUUCUUAAGUCUGAUGUGAAAGCCCACGGCU